AGAGUUUGAUCCUGGCUCAGAACGAACGCUGGCGGCAGGCCUAACACAUGCAAGUCGAGCGGCACCUUCGGGUGUAGCGGCGGACGGGUUAGUAACGCGUGGGAACGUACCCUUUUCUACGGAAUAGCCUCGGGAAACUGAGAGUAAUACCGUAUACGCCCUUCGGGGGAAAGAUUUAUCGGAGAAGGAUCGGCCCGCGUCUGAUUAGAUAGUUGGUGGGGUAAUGGCCUACCAAGUCUACGAUCAGUAGCUGGUUUUAGAGGAUGAUCAGCAACACUGGGACUGAGACACGGCCCAGACUCCUACGGGAGGCAGCAGUGGGGAAUCUUAGACAAUGGGCGCAAGCCUGAUCUAGCCAUGCCGCGUGAGUGAUGAAGGCCUUAGGGUCGUAAAGCUCUUUCGCCAGAGAUGAUAAUGACAGUAUCUGGUAAAGAAACCCCGGCUAACUCCGUGCCAGCAGCCGCGGUAAUACGGAGGGGGUUAGCGUUGUUCGGAAUUACUGGGCGUAAAGCGCACGUAGGCGGAUCAGAAAGUUGGGGGUGAAAUCCCGGGGCUCAACCCCGGAACGGCCUCCAAAACUCCUGGUCUUGAGUUCGAGAGAGGUGAGUGGAAUUCCGAGUGUAGAGGUGAAAUUCGUAGAUAUUCGGAGGAACACCAGUGGCGAAGGCGGCUCACUGGCUCGAUACUGACGCUGAGGUGCGAAAGUGUGGGGAGCAAACAGGAUUAGAUACCCUGGUAGUCCACACCGUAAACGAUGAAUGCCAGUCGUCGGGUAGUAUACUGCUCGGUGACACACCUAACGGAUUAAGCAUUCCGCCUGGGGAGUACGGUCGCAAGAUUAAAACUCAAA
rnacentral:rRNA from 1 species